GAUGAUGUACGUUUUGUGUCUGUUCAUACAGUAGACAUUGUACUGUAAAUAUGUACCCGGUGCAGCUGUAGCUCUGCGCUGUGUGUGAUUGAUUGAGACUAAAGACGUGGACCUCGGAUAUCAGGUUGUUUUAAUAGUUCUCUCCUGCAUCCAAAAGAAAAUACACAACAUUUGAAGAGCACAAAUAUGUGCGUGUCUCGAGCUAGAGAGGCAGUUUUCGCCCAGCCAGUGGUCGCACAGAAUGUCGGCAGACGACGUUAUCAAAUCCCACGUGACGGCGCUCAAAGAAGGUACGGAGCGUGCCCGUGGCCUGGCCCAGACCCUCCUCAACGUUCCCUAUGGAGAAGGAGAGGGGGAGAAACUAGAUGUCUAUGUUCCCACCACCACUUCUCU